rnacentral:rRNA from 1 species
UUUYGUAUUCAGCUUUGUGAUCACUUUUCAAAGAGUCGGAUUGUUUGGGAAUGCAGUCCAAAAUGGGUGGUAAAUUUCAUCUAAAGCUAAAUAUUGGCGAGAGACCGAUAGCGAACAAGUACCGUGAGGGAAAGAUGAAAAGAACUUUGAAAAGAGAGUUAAACAGCACGUGAAAUUGUCAAAAGGGAAGCGUUUGACACCAGUGUUGUUUUCUCGAAAAUCAAUUAAAAAAGACUGGAUUUUGUGUUGUAUUGACUUUAUCAGCUUUCUGCACUCUUUUCUUGUCUUUUUUAAUGCACUUUUCGUUUAACAAGUCAACAUCAAUUUCUUUUGUUGUAAAAGGGUCAUUGGAAGGUGGCUUUCUUUUCGGAGAAAGUGUUUAUAGCCUUUGGCCUCUGCAAUCGGAGAGAUUGAGGUCUGCAGCGUAGAUCCUUCGGGGUUAGAUACAUUUGUGCUAAGUUAUAGCCUUUCAUAGACAACUUGUUGACUAUGAUCAGUCAUGUAGCUUACUCGCUUAUGCUAUUUUACCUACSYAGAAAGGGGGUGGAAAAA